UUUUAGGAAAGAGGAAGUGGAAUGGGCCGAACGAAGGUAAAGGAAAUGGACGAAAUAAGAAAACCCUUAUUCAAACUCAUCUUCCUCUCCUGUUCAAUGUGCCGCAUCUGUAAAAGGAAUUAGGAUGGACAUCAAUACUCAAUCUUUGGAAAGGCAAUUUAUAGGUUCCACACCUUCUAGCUGGGCAAAGACUGAUCCUUAAUGCAAACACUUCUCGUCUAGUCGUGACAUUGAUGGUACACAUGUCUUUAUUGCAACAAUAGCUUUAAAGGUGGGGGAAUUAGUAGAAUGAAAUACCAUAUUGCUGGAAUUAUAGAUCAAAUAUCUCAAUGUAAGAAAGUUCCUUUUGAUGUUCGAUUUAAAUUUCAAGGAAUUCUUAAGGAUAUAACUUAAAAGAAACUAGAUGCUAAAGAGGCUCAUGAUUGUACUUUUAGGGAUAAUUAUAUAGAUUUAGAAAUUGGAGGAGAGGAAAUAGAAGAGAAAAUUCAAGAAAUACAUGUGUCUUCAUAAAAACAAAGGAAAGAGGAAAGCAAGUGACAAGAUUGAAGCAUAUUUUACUCCAAGGACCACUCCUGGAUCUCAGCCUAGUUUAAAGAGUGCUUUAGCUAGUAAACAAGCAAUAAAGAGAGCCCAUAUGUCUUGGGCUAAGUGGUUUUAUGAUGCUUGCAUUCCAUUUAAUGCUUUGCAAUCACCUUGGAUAACAUGUUUGGGGAGGAUUGUUUGAUGGCUGUGAAAAUUGUGGAUCCUAUUAUAAGAUUGUUACAAAUUGCAAAUUCAGAUGAAAAACCUUCAUUGGGUCAUAUAUAUGAAGGGAUGCAUAGGGCACAAUAAGGAAUCAAGAAUAAAUUCUUAAAUAAGAAGAGAUUGUACAAACAUUACACUGAUAUAAUAAAGGAGCGAUGGGAUAAACAUCUUCAUCUCAACAUACGUGCAGUAGCUCACUUUUUUAAUCCUGCUAUCAUAUAUGAAGAAAGAAUUUGUCAAAAAGUAGAAGUCAUGCAAAGUCUAUUCAAUUUGCUUGAAAUAAAAUAGCAUUUGUAGUGAUGAGACAAAAGUAAUGAGGGAGAUAAGGCUGUGGAGGGAGUUUUGGAAAGCAAUCUGCACGUAAUAGUAGAAAGUCAUUACAACCUGAUAAAUGAUGGAAAUUGUGUGGAUCUAACGCUCCUACUUUGCAAAAGACAGCUGUUCGAAUUCUUGGUCAAGCAGUUUCUUCUUCGAGAUGUGAAAGGAAAUGAAGUGUCUUUGAACGUAUUCACAGGAAAAAAAGAAAUAGAUUGGAGCAUCAAAGACUCAAUGAU